rnacentral:lncRNA from 1 species
UUUUUUUGUAGAGAUGGAGUCUCAGUAUGUUUCCCAGUCUGGUCCCGAACUGUGCUGGCCUCAAGCCAUCCUCCUGCCUUAGCCUCCCAAAGUGCUGGGAUUAUAGGUGUGAGCCUCUGGACCCAGCCCCAGUAUCAUGCUAUUCCAAACAAUGCUACCUCAAAAUAUUUUGCACUUAUAUGUAAAUAUAUACAAUCAUAUAAUUACACGUGGGUUCAUAUCUCUGUAGAAUAUGGACUUCAGUGUGGAAUUUCUGGGUCAAAUGGGAUGCAUACUAAAUAUUUUUCUAGAUCAUAGCAAAUUAUCUUCUCAAAAGGCUGUAUCAUUUUAUAUUCCCACCAACAUACUUGUUUACUCUUUCUUGCCAACAUUGGAUAUUAUCUCUAAUAUUUUACAAGUCUGUAAAGUGAUGUUAGUAUACCAAAUGAGCAAAAUUAACAACAUUUGAAGUUAUUUUUAGCUUAUCCAAUCUUGCUCAUACUCACUUGCUCAAGAAGAAAAGUUAUGUGCAAGCCAUUCUGCAACUACUACCUCCCCUU